AGUGAACGCUGGCGGUAGGCCUAACACAUGCAAGUCGAACGGCAGCACAGUAAGAGCUUGCUCUUACGGGUGGCGAGUGGCGGACGGGUGAGGUAUACAUCGGAAUCUACUUUUUCGUGGGGGAUAACGUAGGGAAACUUCCGCUAAUACCGCAUACGACCUACGGGUGAAAGCAGGGGAUCUUCGGACCUUGCGCGAUUGCAUGAGCCGAUGUCGGAUUAGCUAGUUGGCGGGGUAAAGGCCCACCAAGGCGACGCUCCGUAGCUGGUCUGAGCGGAUGAUCAGCCACACUGGAACUGAGACACGGUCCAGACUCCUACGGGAGGCAGCAGUGGGGAAUAUUGGACAAUGGGCGCAAGCCUGAUCCAGCCAUACCGCGUGGGUGAAGAAGGCCUUCGGGUUGUAAAGCCCUUUUGUUGGGAAAGAAAAGCAGCAGGUUAAUACCCCGCUGUUCUGACGGUACCCGAAGAAUAAGCACCGGCUAACUUCGUG
rnacentral:rRNA from 1 species